AACUGAGAGAAGAACAGCGAGAGGAAAAUGCGAAGAAACGCUUCCCGCACUUCUAUAAUCUCAAUGAGGACCCUUUGCUGGUUGCCAAAAUUAUUCACAUUAUCAAAGCAGGAUCCCACAGAAUUGGCAACAAUGGAGCCAAACCGCAACCGGAAAUUCCUCUCUACGGCAGGAGCAUUGCCAGAGAACAUGGCGUCGUGUGUAAUACCAGGAACGGUGUGACAAUUAAGUCUUUGAAAGGAAAAAUUCGAGUUAACG